rnacentral:rRNA from 1 species
GGGGAAUAUUGCGCAAUGGGGGAAACCCUGACGCAGCAACGCCGCGUGAGCGAUGAAGGUCUUCGGAUUGUAAAGCUCUGUCUUUAGGGACGAUAAUGACGGUACCUAAGGAGGAAGCCACGGCUAACUACGUGCCAGCAGCCGCGGUAAUACGUAGGUGGCAAGCGUUGUCCGGAUUUACUGGGCGUAAAGAGUAUGUAGGCGGAUAUUUAAGUCAGAUGUGAAAUUCCCGGGCUUAACCUGGGCGCUGCAUUUGAUACUGGAUAUCUAGAGUGUGGGAGAGGAAAGUGGAAUUCCUAGUGUAGCGGUGAAAUGCGUAGAGAUUAGGAAGAACACCAGUGGCGAAGGCGGCUUUCUGGACCAUAACUGACGCUGAGGCGCGAAAGCAUGGGUAGCAAAC